rnacentral:lncRNA from 1 species
GAGGCCCCACAGAUAGGAUUCAGAUUUCUGAACGGGAAAGCAUUUUUUGUCAGCCUAUACGCCGACUCUGAAUCAAAUAUUUACUCACUGCCAACAAAAACAUACUCUAUUUACUAGUUUAAAUCAAUUCACUAAGCUAGUUAAAAGACUUAUUACUAACGCAAUUCCACCAGUGUGUAAUACAUCCAACAUUCUCAAUAUUAAACGCUUUUGGCAAGCCA